CCCUUAGAUGUUCUGGGCUGCACGCGCGCUACACUGAAGCGUUCAACGAGUAUUCACCUUGCCCGGGAGGGUUGGGUAAUCUUUUGAAAACGCUUCGUGAUGGGGAUAGAUUAUUGCAAUUAUUAAUCUUCAACGAGGAAUUCCUAGUAAGCGCGAGUCAUCAGCUCGUGCUGAUUACGUCCCUGCCCUUUGUACACACCGCCCGUCGCUCCUACCGAUUGAGCGAUCCGGUGAAUAAUUCGGACUGCAGCACUGCUUGGUCUCCAGGCUUUGCAGCGGAAAGUUUAGUGAACCUUAUCACUUAGAGGAAGGAGAAGUCGUANCA
rnacentral:rRNA from 1 species